CGCAAGAUAGAGUAGUGGACCACUCAUUGGGCUCAUAAUCCAACCACGGUUGUUCGAUUCAACCUCUUGCAC
rnacentral:tRNA from 1 species